CUCCACACGCAGAAGGCCCGGGCUCUGAGCAGGAUUUUGCCUAGGGCUACUGAGUCUUCAUGCAGCUAGUUACAAAGCAGCGUUUUGAGUCAUUUAAGAUGUUUUCUUGCAGGUGUAGAAGGCGCAAGAUGGUUUAUCUCCCAGUUUAUUACCUGCCUUCUCCAGUAAACCACAAACUUCACGGUUUACUCCACAACAGGCCCUCUACCCAUCCUGGUCCCAGCUUUAUCUUCAGUGCUCUGGACAUAGGGUGGCAGAAAGGUCAAUACAUUUUUUAUUAAAUCAUAAAAUGUUGAUUGAGUUCCAAACUCGGAUCCGCCUUUUUCUUGGGACAAAUCCUUUCUCUCUUUGAGCCUUCAUUUCCUCACCUGUAAAAUUACCUCCAGACCUUCUAGUCCUGAGAGUCCAGGCAUUCUUUUUUUUUUUUUUUUUAAACCUGGGCAGGCUGCUAAAAAUGGCCUUGGUGCCUGGAAACAAGAGGAAACAUUUGGGGCGGCCACUCAAGUCACCUGGAUGUGGGGCCUCCAACACCCUCAGCUUUGAAAUGACCUUGGUGGUAACAUCAGGAAAGCCAGGUGGGGCCCGGCUGUGCAGCUGGCGCCUCUGAGUUGGGCACCGGUGGGGAAGCAGUUCUGAGCCCAGCGAUCAGCACGGCUACUGUGGACUGCAGGCUGUGUGCCAGGCUCCGUGCUGGGUGCUCCCUGAGUGUGUGAUUCUCCACAGGAGGCUGGAGGCUGAGACCCAUUACACAGAUGAGUAAAGGAGGGCCCAGAAGGAGGCGGACUGGCCGAGGUCAGGCAGGGAGGUGGCAGAGCCCAGGGUGUGAGCCAUUCAGUCACCCUGGGAGCAGAGGUCAGAGAAGUGAAGGCUGGCACUGUGCUUACUGCAUGGGGUCCUGGGCUGAGCUUGACGGCACACUGGGAAGUCCACGCUGGAAUUUCUGGAGCCAGUUUGCAGUGAGGAGGACCCAGCUGACUCAGAAUCUCCUAUUUCAGGUUGUGCCAGGCUGGGGGACUCGAGGCAGGGCGGGCAGCAGUGAUCCUCUAGGAUGUGGAACUGACUUCUGA
rnacentral:lncRNA from 1 species